rnacentral:rRNA from 1 species
UACAGGGGGGGCAAGCGUUGUUCGGAAUUACUGGGCGUAAAGGGCUCGUAGGCGGCCAACUAAGUCCGACGUGAAAUCCCAAGGCUUAACCUUGGAACUGCGUCGGAUACUGGAUGGCUUGAAUUCGGGAGAGGGAUGCAGAAUUCCAGGUGUAGCGGUGAAAUGCGUAGAUAUCUGGAGGAACACCGGUGGCGAAGGCGGCAUCCUGGACCGAUACUGACGCUGAGGAGCGAAAGCCAGGGGAGCAAACGGG